CCUACGGGAGACAGCAGUGAGGAAUAUUGGUCAAUGGACGAGAGUCUGAACCAGCCAAGUAGCGUGAAGGAUGACUGCCCUAUGGGUUGUAAACUUCUUUUAUAUGGGAAUAAAAUGUUCCAUGUGUGGGAUUUUGUAUGUACCAUAUGAAUAAGGAUCGGCUAACUCCGUGCCAGCAGCCGCGGUAAUACGGAGGAUCCGAGCGUUAUCCGGAUUUAUUGGGUUUAAAGGGAGCGUAGGUGGAUUGUUAAGUCAGUUGUGAAAGUUUGCGGCUCAACCGUAAAAUUGCAGUUGAAACUGGCAGUCUUGAGUACAGUAGAGGUGGGCGGAAUUCGUGGUGUAGCGGUGAAAUGCUUAGAUAUCACGAAGAACUCCGAUUGCGAAGGCAGCUCACUGGACUGCAACUGACACUGAGGCUCGAAAGUGUGGGUAGCAAACAGGAUUAGAUACCCCAGUAGUC
rnacentral:rRNA from 1 species